UACGGGGGGGUGCAAGCGUUGUUCGGAAUUACUGGGCGUAAAGGGCUCGUAGGUGGCCAACUAAGUCAGACGUGAAAUCCCCAGGCUCAACUUGGGAACUGCGUCUGAUACUGGAUGGCUUGAAUUCGGGAGAGGGGUGCAGAAUUCCAGGUGUAGCGGUGAAAUGCGUAGAUAUCUGGAGGAAUACCGGUGGCGAAGGCGGCAUCCUGGACCGAGAUUGACACUGAUGAGCGAAAGCUAGGGGAGCAAACGGG
rnacentral:rRNA from 1 species